AUGUUCAACUGUAAUUCCAUCAAUCACCCCGCGCCAUUAAGGACCAGCUUUACGCUCACCUUAAGCCUGCAGCAGCGACUUCUGCCGGGACAGCUAAACUGCACUUCGCAAGCUGUCGUCUAAAUUUAUUAUUUUUUUCAUUCCCCGCAUCUGCCUUUACCAGCCCGAGCGACAGACAAAGAAAAUCAUAAACAGACGGCUAUCAAGUGGG